rnacentral:rRNA from 1 species
CGGACGGGUGAGUAACGCGUGAAUUACAUGCCCUUCAGUGGGGAAUAGCCCAGGGAAACUUGGAUUAAUACCCCAUGGUAUCGCAAGAUUAAAGGUGGCCGCAAGGCUGCCGCUGAAGGAUUGGUUCGCACCCUAUCAGCUUGUUGGUGAGGUAAUGGCUCACCAAGGCUACGACGGGUACCUGGUCUGAGAGGACGAUCAGGCACACUGGAACUGAGACACGGUCCAGACACCUACGGGUGGCAGCAGUCGAGAAUAAUUCACAAUGGGGGCAACCCUGAUGGUGCAACGCCGCGUGGAGGAUGACGGUCUUCGGAUUGUAAACUCCUGUCAUCUGGGAGUAAGGCAUGGUUGUUAAUAGCAAACAUGAUUGAUAGUACCAGAAGAGGAAGGGACGGCUAACUUCGUGCCAGCAGCCGCGGUAAUACGAAGGUCCCAAGCGUUGUUCGGAAUCACUGGGCGUAAAGGGAGCGUAGGCGGCGUGGUAAGUCAGAUGUGAAAUCCCGGGGCUCAACCCCGGAACUGCAUCCGAUACUGCCAUGCUAGAGGAUUGGAGAGGUAGCUGGAAUUCUUGGUGUAGCAGUGAAAUGCGUAGAGAUCAAGAGGAACACUCGUGGCGAAAGCGAGCUACUGGACAAUUCCUGACGCUGAGGCUCGAAAGCUAGGGUAGCGAAAGGGAUUAGAUACCCCUGUAGUC